rnacentral:rRNA from 1 species
AUUCAGAGGAGAGCUUCGGCAGGAAUCAGGGAUAUUCGAGUGGCGGACGGGUGAGUAACGCGUGAGCAACCUGUCCCAGACAGGGGGAUAACACUUGGAACAGGUGCUAAUACCGCAUAAGACCACGGUAUCACAUGGUACAGAGGUAAAGGAGAAAUCCGGUUUGGGUGGGCUCGCGUCCGAUUAGAUAGUUGGUGAGGUAACGGCCCACCAAGUCAACGAUCGGUAGCCGACCUGAGAGGGUGAUCGGCCACAUUGGAACUGAGAGACGGUCCAAACUCCUACGGGAGGCAGCAGUGGGGAAUAUUGGGCAAUGGGCGAAAGCCUGAACCCCAGCAACGCCGCGUGAGUGAAGAAGGCCUUCGGGUUGUAAAGCUCUGUUAUAGUUGACGAAGGAAGUGACGGUAGGCUAUAAGGAAGCCCCGGCUAACUACGUGCCAGCAGCCGC